UCCGAAUUGUCUCCGGCAGUCCCUCUAGAGUGCCCAACUUAAUGCUGGCAACUAAAGGCAAGGGUUGCGCUCGUUGCGGGACUUAACCCAACAUCUCACGACACGAGCUGACGACAACCAUGCACCACCUGUCUCCCUGCCCCGAAGGGCUUCACCAAUCUCUUGGCUAUUCAGGGGAUGUCAAGUCCUGGUAAGGUUCUUCGCGUUGCGUCGAAUUAAACCACAUGCUCCGCUGCUUGUGCGGGCCCCCGUCAAUUCCUUUGAGUUUCAACCUUGCGGCCGUACUCCCCAGGCGGGGUACUUAUUGUGUUAACUACGGCACUGGGGGGGUCGAUACCCCCAACACCUAGUACCCAUCGUUUACGGCGUGGACUAC
rnacentral:misc_RNA from 1 species